rnacentral:rRNA from 1 species
CACGAAAGCGUGGGGAUCAAACAGGAUUAGAUACCCCUGGUAGUCCACGCUGUAAACGAUGAUGACUAACCGUCGGCGAUACACAGUCGGUGGCCAAGCGAAAGCGAUAAGUCAUCCACCUGGGGAGUACGACCGCAAGGUUGAAACUCAAAGGAAUUGACGGGGGCCCGCACAAGCGGAGGAACAUGUGGUUUAAUUCGAUGAUACGCGAGGAACCUUACCCGGGCUCGAACGGCAGGGGAAUGAAUCAGAGAUGGUUCAGUCUUCGGACUCCUGUCGAGGUGCUGCAUGGUUGUCGUCAGCUCGUGCUGUGAAGUGUCGGCUUAAGUGCCAUAACGAGCGCAACCCUUGCCAUUAGUUGCCAUCAGGUAAAGCUGGGGACUCUAGUGGGACUGCCACCGCAAGGUGUGAGGAAGGGGGGGAUGACGUCAAAUCAGCACGGCCCUUACGUCCGGGGCGACACACGUGUUACAAUGGCGAGUACAGAGGGAAGCUACCUGGCGACAGGAUGCAGAUCUCGAAAGCUCGUCCCAGUUCGGAUUGGAUGUCUGCAACCC